GCUUAACACAUGCAAGUCGAACGAAGGCUUCGGCCUUAGUGGCGCACGGGUGCGUAACGCGUGGGAAUCUGCCCAAAGGUUCGGAAUAACUCAGGGAAACUUGAGCUAAUACCGGAUAAUGUCGCAAGACCAAAGAUUUAUUGCCUUUGGAUGAGCCCGCGUAGGAUUAGCUAGUUGGUGGGGUAAAGGCCUACCAAGGCGACGAUCCUUAGCUGGUCUGAGAGGAUGAUCAGCCACACUGGGACUGAGACACGGCCCAGACUCCUACGGGAGGCAGCAGUGGGGAAUAUUGGACAAUGGGCGAAAGCCUGAUCCAGCCAUGCCGCGUGGAUGAAGAAGGCCCUAGGGUUGUAAAGUCCUUUCACCGCUGAAGAUAAUGACGGUAAGCGGAGAAGAAGCCCCGGCUAAUUUCGUGCCAGCAGCCGCGGUAAUAC
rnacentral:rRNA from 1 species